UAUGGAAUUUCUCUGGACUACCAGUGGAGCUCCUGGGGAUCGAUGACUUGCAGAAUGACAGGAACUUAUGUUGGCCACCAAAAUGUCAGCUUCAUUGUAGAUGGUCCAUACGGGAGGAGUCUGCCAGACGUGAGCACCUACUUUGUUUCAUCUGCAAAUAAACUGGCGAUGUUUCAGACAUAUGCAG